CCUACGGGUGGCUGCAGUGGGGAAUAUUGGACAAUGGGCGAAAGCCUGAUCCAGCCAUGCCGCGUGUGUGAAGAAGGCCUUCGGGUUGUAAAGCACUUUCAGUGGGGAAGAAAGCCUUGGGGCUAAUACCCUCGAGGAAGGACAUCACCCACAGAAGAAGCACCGGCUAACUCCGUGCCAGCAGCCGCGGUAAUACGGAGGGUGCGAGGCGUUAAUCGGAAUUACUGGGCGUAAAGCGCGCGUAGGCGGUCUGAUAAGCCGGUUGUGAAAGCCCCGGGCUCAACCUGGGAACGGCAUCCGGAACUGUCAGGCUAGAGUGCAGGAGAGGAAGGUAGAAUUCCCGGUGUAGCGGUGAAAUGCGUAGAGAUCGGGAGGAAUACCAGUGGCGAAGGCGGCCUUCUGGACUGACACUGACGCUGAGGUGCGAAAGCGUGGGUAGCAAACAGGAUUAGAUACCCUUGUAGUC
rnacentral:rRNA from 1 species